rnacentral:rRNA from 1 species
CUACGGGCGGCAGCAGUGAGGAAUUUUGCGCAAUGGGGGAAACCCUGACGCAGCAACGCCGCGUGAGUGAUGAAGGCCUUCGGGUCGUAAAACUCUGUCAAGUGGGAAGAACCUAUGUAAGGUUAUUACCCUUAUGUACUGACGGUACCACUGAAGGAAGCACCGGCUAACUCCGUGCCAGCAGCCGCGGUAAUACGGAGGGUACAAGCGUUAUUCGGAAUUAUUGGGCGUAAAGGGCGCGCAGGCGGUUUUGUAAGUCAGAUGUGAAAGCCCGGGGCUUAACCUCGGAAGUGCAUUUGAUACUGCAAGACUUGAGUAUGGGAGGGGGAAGUGGAAUUCCUGGUGUAGAGGUGAAAUUCGUAGAUAUCAGGAGGAACACCAGUGGCGAAGGCGACUUCCUGGACCAAUACUGACGCUGAGGUGCGAAAGCGUGGGGAGCAAACAGGAUUAGAUACCCCCGUAGUC